UUUACUUCUUCUUGUAAAUAUAAUUUUUCCUUUGAUUUCUCUUUUUGUAGUUUUAGUAAUCUUUUAGUACUAACCUUUUUCAUUUUUUCUUUCUAUUCUUAUAUAAUAUGCUCUGAGAUGUUUGCAAGAACAUAUUAUAAACUUCUUAGAGCAUUGAACUAUUAUGAGUAAUCUAUUAAUCUUAUUUUCUUAAAUUGAAUUCACUUGACUUCAAUUUUUGUAGGUUAGUUAUUUUUAUUUCUUAUUCUUAUGAGUUCACCUGAAUUCUCAUUUUCUAAUUUUAGUUAGUUGAUUUUUGUAAUUUAUUAUUUGUUUUUGGAUUCACUUGAAUUCGUUUUUUUAUUUGAUUUAGUCCACUAACGAACUAACAAAAUUUGUGAGUUGUGUCAUCAUGAUUUGAAAGCUAUACAGGUUGAAGUUGCGCAUUUGGAUAAGUGAGGCGUAAUCACAAACUUGUCGAGAGCCCGCUACGCACCAUCGCCCAACGGGUCUCACACCUGCACAACCUGCAUCUCUCUGCCUAGCCCACUGGUUGGUCAGCGUUCGCUGGCCUACGCACUGCUCACUCAACCUCUUCUUCACGGAAGCAUCACCGCCCCACCUCAGUUUCCUUCAGAUUUUUGCCGGCUACUGCUCGCCACCGGCCACCCAAUCCCUUACCACUAGCGCACUGCACCAUCUCCCAAUCCCUUCCUCACGCAUCCUCUACUUCACUCCAUCACUGACCACAACAGAAAACCGGAGCACCAACACCGUCAACUCGUCACUGACUACCGUGUCCAUCAUCGGCGCAGCAUCAUCACCCGUCGCUGGCGUCAGUCGGCGCGCACUUCCCUCCUUUCUCCGCCUCUUCUCCUCCUCUUCGCCUAUUAAUCUAUCCCUCUUAAGCCCACACCGGCCGGCCUCCUGAUCGCGCCCGUACUCCGCUAGUUGCGACACCACCAACCAUCCCUUUCCCUGUGCAACACCGCCAGAAACCCACUGGAACCACACCGUCUUCUCUUUGCGCCUCCCACCUCCCUCGCGUCUCCUGCCCGCACAACAUCGCCGACAGUCUUCCUGUCCUCCUGAACUCCCACCAGCAACAACCGCAAACCCAACCACUCCUGGUCCCCUCCUAUUCGGCGGACAACCAGCAAACCCAGCAUUCCUUAUUUUCUUCUCUCUUUCAUCUCUUUUCGAUACUUAGUUUGUUCUUUUAUUUAUUUAUUUUUUCUUUUGUUUUGUUUCCUUUUUUCUCUUUCUUUUUCAUCUUUUUCUUUUUAAUUUUCUUUUCUUAUUACUUUCUCAUUUCCUUACCUCUUCUCUAUAAUUUAAUUGAUGAUGGUUACAUGAUUUUGUCAAGUAGGCACCAACUAGAUUCAAGUUCGUCUUUGUGAAGCAUUACGACAUGGAUUUUGAGCAUAUUUGACUCUUCUCCCCAAUUAAUUGGGCAUUGAGGACGUAUUUGGUGUAUGAUUAUCUAAACUUGAGGAUUAGGACACUUGGAAAGAAGCUACAAUGAAUAAGGAUCGUAUGGAUAUGUCAUAGUACGAGUUUGAGCAAAAACGAAGCGGAAAAUCAUUAGAAGAAAUGUGAAAAAGGAGUCAUGUCUACUCUUCUGAUCAUAACUUUAGAUGUGCUUCUUGUAAUUGAAUUAUUACAGCAUAAUUGGAAACUAGACUUGAAGAGCUUUCCAACAAUAGGUGGCACGGCCCGAGGACACUUCUAGUCAAGAAAUUAUGCCUUUCGGAA